AAUACAAAUAAUGUUGUUUAUUUCUCUAAAUAUAGAAGGACACGGACGCGGGAUAUAAAUAGAUACAAAACAAAUAUUAUUAACAAUGGAUGCUAUUAUGGAAAAAUCAUUAUGGUGAGAUGGUAAGUCAAACUGGGAAAAAUUAAGGGACUUUUUGAUGAGUAUGGCAACACCGCCAUACCCAUCGGCUCUAUCUUCCCUGAGACAGGAAUAACCAGGAAUUUUAAAACAAAAUUCCGGUUUUAACCACGUCUCACAUAGAGCUAUAAUACAAGGGUUAAAUUUGUUAAUAAGAUAAAUUAAAUCAGAUUUGUUCUUCACUACGCUUCUGCAGUUCCAUUGUAGUACUUUGCCUAAACAUGUCCACUGGUACACCUCUUACAAGCCCCAUUCUGGUAACAUUAAAUGAUGGAAUAAAGGCUUCAUAGCCUUUUUCAAUAAGGCAUGAUGCUUUAUAAAAGAAUUUGCAGCUGAGUGACUGGAGAAUGCCAUCGAAAUUUUGUUGCGACCGAUACGUUUCAAACUGCCUUGUACUAUGUUUGGCACCUGGUUUUAUAUAAAAAUCUGCCAAAGCAUAUUGGAUGCAAGUUGAGAUCCUGUGUUACCUCACCAGUACUAGACCUAGCAACAUGAAUAAUGAAUGGUGAAGCAUCCAAUGCA